rnacentral:rRNA from 1 species
UACGGGGGGGAGCAAGCGUUGUUCGGAUUUACUGGGCGUAAAGGGCGCGUAGGCGGCGUGACAAGUCACUUGUGAAAUCUCCGGGCUUAACUCGGAGCGGCCAAGUGAUACUGUCGUGCUAGAGUGCGGAAGGGGCUACUGGAAUUCUCGGUGUAGCGGUGAAAUGCGUAGAGAUCGGGAGGAACACCAGUGGCGAAGGCGGCUCGCUGGGCCGGUCCUGACGCUGAGACGCGAAAGCUAGGGGAGCGAACGGG